rnacentral:rRNA from 1 species
UACGUAGGGGGCGAGCGUUAUCCGGAAUUACUGGGCGUAAAGCGCACGCAGCGGUUCGCCAAGUUUGGAGUGACAGUUGUCGGCUCAACCGACAAAGGACUUCAAAAACUGGUGAACUUGAGGACGAGAGAGGAACAUGGAACUCCAGGUGUAGUAGUGAAAUGCGUAGAGAUCGGGAGGAACACCCGUGGCGAAGGCGGCCAGCUGGGCCAACCCUGACACUGAGGCGCGAAGGCGUGGGGAGCGAACGGG